UACGUAGGGGCUAGCGUUGUCCGGAAUCAUUGGGCGUAAAGAGCGUGUAGGCGGUCCGGUAAGUCCGCUGUGAAAGUCGGGGGCUCAACCCUCGAAUGCCGGUGGAUACUGUCGUGCUAGAGUACAGAAGGGGCAACUGGAAUUCUCGGUGUAGCGGUGAAAUGCGUAGAUAUCGAGAGGAACACCUGCGGCGAAGGCGGGUUGCUGGGCUGAUACUGACGCUGAGGCGCGAAAGCUAGGGGAGCGAACGGG
rnacentral:rRNA from 1 species